GGCGAACGGGUGAGUAACACGUGGGCAAUCUGCCCUGCACUCUGGGACAAGCCCUGGAAACGGGGUCUAAUACCGGAUACUGACCCGCUUGGGCAUCCAAGCGGUUCGAAAGCUCCGGCGGUGCAGGAUGAGCCCGCGGCCUAUCAGCUUGUUGGUGAGGUAAUGGCUCACCAAGGCGACGACGGGUAGCCGGCCUGAGAGGGCGACCGGCCACACUGGGACUGAGACACGGCCCAGACUCCUACGGGAGGCAGCAGUGGGGAAUAUUGCACAAUGGGCGAAAGCCUGAUGCAGCGACGCCGCGUGAGGGAUGACGGCCUUCGGGUUGUAAACCUCUUUCAGCAGGGAAGAAGCGAAAGUGACGGUACCUGCAGAAGAAGCGCCGGCUAACUACGUGCCAGCAGCCGCGGUAAUACGUAGGGCGCGAGCGUUGUCCGGAAUUAUUGGGCGUAAAGAGCUCGUAGGCGGCUUGUCACGUCGGUUGUGAAAGCCCGGGGCUUAACCCCGGGUCUGCAGUCGAUACGGGCAGGCUAGAGUUCGGUA
rnacentral:rRNA from 1 species